rnacentral:rRNA from 1 species
GACGAACGCUGGCGGCGUGCUUAACACAUGCAAGUCGAACGGAAAGGCCUGCUUUCCCUUGUGGAUUGCGGGUACUCGAGUGGCGAACGGGUGAGUAACACGUGAGUGAUCUGCCCCCAACUUGGGUAUAAGCCUGGGAAACUGGGUCUAAUUCCCGAGAGGACUGCAGGGUGGUGCCUGUGGUGGAAAACGAUUUUCUAGUGGUUGGGGAUGAGCUCGCGGCCUAUCAGCUUGUUGGUGGGGUAAUGGCCUACCAAGGCGGCGACGGGUAGCCGGCCUGAGAGGGUGGACGGCCACAUUGGGACUGGGAUACGGCCCAGACUCCUACGGGAGGCAGCAGUGGGGAAUAUUGCACAACGGGCGGAAGCCUGAGGCAGCGACGCCGCGUGGGGGAUGACGGCCUUCGGGUCGUAAACUCCUUUCGACCGCGAGGAAGCCACCUGGUUGGAAGGGUGGUGACGGUAGUGGUAGAAGAAGCACCGGCUAACUACGUG